rnacentral:rRNA from 1 species
GGGUCAGUAGGUUGGUCGUGCCACCGGUACGUACUGGUCUCAAUGAUUCCUCCUUCCUGAAGAACCGUAAUGCCAUUAAUUUGGUGUUGCGGGGGAACAGGACUGUUACUUUGAAAAAAUUAGAGUGUUUAAAGCAAGCUAACGCUUGAAUACAUUAGCAUGGAAUAAUGAAAUAGGACGAUCGAUCCUAUUUUGUUGGUUUCUAGGAUUGACGUA